rnacentral:rRNA from 1 species
GAGUUUGAUCCUGGUUCAGAUUGAACGCUGGCGGCAUGCCUUACGCAUGCAAGUCGAACGGUAACAGGUCUUCGGAUGCUGACGAGUGGCGAACGGGUGAGUAAUACAUCGGAACGUGCCUAGUAGUGGGGGAUAACUACUCGAAAGAGUGGCUAAUACCGCAUGAGAUCUACGGAUGAAAGCAGGGGAUCGCAAGACCUUGUGCUACUAGAGCGGCCGAUGGCAGAUUAGGUAGUUGGUGGGAUAAAAGCUUACCAAGCCGACGAUCUGUAGCUGGUCUGAGAGGACGAUCAGCCACACUGGGACUGAGACACGGCCCAGACUCCUACGGGAGGCAGCAGUGGGGAAUUUUGGACAAUGGGCGCAAGCCUGAUCCAGCAAUGCCGCGUGCAGGAUGAAGGCCUUCGGGUUGUAAACUGCUUUUGUACGGAACGAAAAGCCCUGGGUUAAUACCCUGGGGUCAUGACGGUACCGUAAGAAUAAGCACCGGCUAACUACGUGCCAGCAGCCGCGGUAAUAC